UUGCAAAAAUUGAGAAAAUUUGUUUGGAAGAUAACCUCAAGUGUGUAGCUGAACAACUAUUUGAUAAAAAAAAUUUCUGUGGGUAUGAGCUAUAAACCUAAUCAGCCAUCUCAACAGAAACCAGAAAGAGAUACCUCGCAAGAAUUGGACCACGCCUGCACACUGUUAAUGAACUCCCAGCCUCCAUAACUAGGAAAAGCCAAGUGAGAAAACAGAGAAGGUGGCUGUCUAUAAGCAAGAAAGAGAGGCUUCACCAAAAACCAACUGGACAGCAUUCUCAUUCUGAUCUUGGACAUCUAGCAUCUAAAACUGUGAGACAUACAUUUCUGUUGUGUAAACCUCCCAGCCUGUUUUGUUAUGACAGCCCUAGCAGAUGAAUAUGCCUAUUUUCCACAUUUUAUUAAUUUUAGAAUGACUCUUCUUUCUUUUGAAAGCAACUAUUGUGAAAAGUUGAGAGUAAAAGCAAGUGGAGAUGGAAAGAAAAUGACUGAGAAAAUAAGCUUGUUCUUAAACUCUGGCUUGUAUUUACUAGAGUUUUUACUAGCUAGAGUAUUUACUACACAAGAAGAUACCUGCAGACUGCUGUGGUUGCACAAAAGUCUGAUUGUAAGGUUUUCUCUUGGGCUGAAAUAUUUCUUAUCCUUCUGCCCCACCAUGUAUAGGGAGCUAACUAUAAUUUAUAGUCAGAAUGUAUGCGGUAUAGUCAGCUUAUA
rnacentral:lncRNA from 1 species